rnacentral:rRNA from 1 species
ACGCUAUCACUCCUACGGGAGGCAGCAGUGGGGGAAUCUUAGACAAUGGGGGCAACCCUGAUCUAGCCAUGCCGCGUGAGUGAUGAAGGCCUUAGGGUCGUAAAGCUCUUUCGCCUGUGAUGAUAAUGACAGUAGCAGGUAAAGAAACCCCGGCUAACUCCGUGCCAGCAGCCGCGGUAAUACGGAGGGGGUUAGCGUUGUUCGGAAUUACUGGGCGUAAAGCGCGCGUAGGCGGACUGGAAAGUUGGGGGUGAAAUCCCAGGGCUCAACCCUGGAACGGCCUCCAAAACUCCCAGUCUGGAGUUCGAGAGAGGUGAGUGGAAUUCCGAGUGUAGAGGUGAAAUUCGUAGAUAUUCGGAGGAACACCAGUGGCGAAGGCGGCUCACUGGCUCGAUACUGACGCUGAGGUGCGAAAGUGUGGGGAGCAAACAGGAUUAGAUACCCUGGUAG